rnacentral:rRNA from 1 species
CGAUGUCUUCGGACAGUCGACGACCGGCGCACGGGUGAGUAACGCGUAUGCAACCUGCCCCUUACAGGGGGAUAGCCCGGAGAAAUCCGGAUUAAUACCCCAUAGGACCUAAGAGUCGCAUGGCUUUAAGGUUAAAAUUUCGAUGGUAAGGGAUGGGCAUGCGUGCCAUUAGUUAGUUGGUAAGGUAACGGCUUACCAAGGCAACGAUGGCUAGGGGUUCUAAAAGGAUGGUCCCCCACACUGGUACUGAGACACGGACCAGACUCCUACGGGAGGCAGCAGUGAGGAAUAUUGGUCAAUGGGUGAGAGCCUGAACCAGCCAUGCCGCGUGCAGGAUGACGGCCCUAGUGGUUGUAAACUGCUUUUAAACAGGAAUAAUUCCUUCUACGUGUAGAGGGUUGCAUGUACUGUAAGAAUAAGCAUCGGCUAACUCCGUGCCAGCAGCCGCGGUAAUACGGAGGAUGCGAGCGUUAUCCGGAUUUAUUAGGUUUAAAGGGUGCGUAGGCUGUAAUGUAAGUCAGUGGUGAAAUCUUCCGGCUCAACCGGGAAACUGCCGUUGAUACUGCAUUACUUGAGUUCAGUUGAGGUAGGCGGAAUGUGUAAUGUAGCGGUGAAAUGCAUAGAGAUUACACAGAACACCGAUUGCGAAGGCAGCUUACUAAGCUGAAACUGACGCUAAUGCACGAAAGCGUGGGGAGCGAACAGGAUUAGAUACCCUGGUAGUCCACGCCGUAAACGAUGACACUCGCUGUUGGCGAUACAUUGUCAGUGGCUGAGCGAAAGCAUUAAGUGCUCCACCUGGGGAGUACGUUGGCAACAAUGAAACUCAAAGGAAUUGACGGGGGCCCGCACAAGCGGUGGAACAUGUGGUUUAAUUCGAUGAUACGCGAGGAACCUUACCUGGGUUUAAGUUUAGGAAGAUUUAUGCCGAAAGGCAUUUUCCCUUCGGGGCUUUCUAGAAGGUGCUGCAUGGCUGUCGUCAGCUCGUGCCGUGAGGUGUCGGGUUAAGUCCCAUAACGAGCGCAACCCCUACUGUUAGUUACCAUCGGUUCAAGCCGGGGACUCUAACGGGACUGCCACCGUAAGGUGAGAGGAGGGUGGGGAUGACGUCAAGUCAGCACGGCCCUUACGUCCAGGGCUACACACGUGUUACAAUGGCCGGUACAAAGGGCAGCUACAUGGCGACAUGAUGCUAAUCUCUAAAACCGGUCUCAGUUCGGAUCGAAGUCUGCAACUCGACUUCGUGAAGCUGGAAUCGCUAGUAAUCGCGUAUCAGCAAUGACGCGGUGAAUACGUUCCCGGGCCUUGUACACACCGCCCGUCAAGCCAUGGAAGCCGGGGGUACCUGAAGUCUGUAACCGCAAGGAGCGGCCUAGGGUAAAACUGGUGACUGGGGCUAAGUCGUAACAAGGUA